CAGUGAUCGUCCCUGAAUGAUAAAGAUAGAGGAUUUAUUGUCUGUCUUUGUCAUACAGGAUUGCGGUCAUACACUGAAGCUGAAUCCGUGUCAGUGUUCCGGGAACACGUGACAAGGAACCUACACACCCCUUUAAAGUCGGAGACAGAGUCGUGGUGAAGGUGCUCCCCAGGAACAAGAGCCCAGGAGACUUCACCUAUGGUCCAGAGACAGAGGUCGUAGCAGUUACCCGAACAGCAGUCCUGACAGAGGAAAGUCCUACCUGGAUCCAUGCAUCCCGAGUAAAAAAGGUUCCUAGACCAGACCUAGAGAGGGAAGCAAGUGAUUCCAGUGAGGUACGAACCGGGGCAGACAGCCCUGACCUCCCACCUAGCGAAGAAAGAAGAACAGGAGAAGAUGAGGAACCUGUCCCCUAUCUUUAUCCUGGGGACUAUCUCGAUAGCCCUACUGGCCCUCAUUCACCUCACAAUAUGUGAAGUCGACAUCACACAAACAGAUGGGGUCCCCACCUUGUGGUACAAUUCCUCCAAUACACACGUAGCCACAUAUAUCCUUGACUAUUUUAUGUUCCCCAAAAUUGCUGAUGACAAAUAUUAUAUACAACAAAGGAGGAAAUCAGGAAUGUCUGAGACAGUAUAUAUUUGUGUUACUGACGAAUGGUACUAUGACAAUAGAUAUUAUGGAUCUAAUUGUAAUUCCUGGGAAGCUGUGGGGUGGAAUACAGGAGUAGAUUGGAAAUAUGGCCCAUCGUUUGCAAAGAAUAGAUGGAGCAAAUAUGGAGUACCCCUACUUUCUAGACUAUCCAUUCAUAAGAUGGAUGAAGGCCCAAAUUCAUACAGGUUUAGACUAAACAUAGUGAACCCUAGCAGAAGCGACAAUGAGACUUAUGUACUUGGUAUAUGGUGGCAAGCAGGAUACUAUAGUGCAAGACAAAUGUUUUAUUUGUGGGACAUGUACAAAAACCCAAAAUACCAGCCUAAAAUUGCUCCCCAAAACAAACCUUUAAAGCCCCAUAUUGCCACUUUUAAAGAUAUGGUGGCUAUUACUAACCCUACCUUUGAAGACACCCUAGCUAUUGAAACUGGUUUCUCUGACAUUAAUUUUGGUUGGAAUGGAUGAAGUAUAGUGCUAACAAACACAAUAAAAGCAACUGUUAUGUCUGUGGCAAAUCUAGGCCCCACCUAGGUACAGUGCCCCUUAAUAUACCCCUAGAACAAGAAAAUUGUUUUUUUUUCAGCCUUUUUAAUGACACCAAAACAAAUGGCAGUCAGUGCGAAAUGUGGAAAAGGGAAUAUCCCAUAUUGUCAAAAAAUCCCAACCCAGGAAGCACCAUAACUAUAUAUCCUGGAAACUACACUUGUUAUACAUCUAACACCACCACAGGGAGAAAUUUAAAAACCUUCCCACCAGGGUAUUGUGCAAAUAAGCAUAUUCAUACUUGUAACUUUAAUUCUUGUAGGCAUUAUAGUUUAUUGUAUAAUUCCCUGUGGAAAGAAACUUACCUCCAAAGGCAUUGAUAAGGCCCUGAUGUACUAUGAUAUAACCACCAGUCCUGUCACCUCCUCUGAUAGUAAGGGACCCGACGAUUAUGUCCAAUAGCUCAAGAACUGGAGGAACAAGAAAGGAGCCUCACUCAAGAAUCAUGUCAUAUAUUAAUCAUGAUUCUAAGAGGGGAUUGAAGGGUUAGCUCCUCUGUGCUUUGUAGAUAUUACUUUUUAUAUGAUCAAUUUCCUUAUAAUAGUUACAGUGUAAAAGUGAAUAUUUCUAUUUCCCUAGUGAAGGGUUAAAACAUGCUUUAUGAACUCUUAUGUGUUUGCAUUGGAUGCAUGCUGCCCUGUGUUAGAUGCCUUUGUCUCUCAUACAGAUACCAGGCUUGUGUGGGUCUGGCAUCCAAGGUCAGCUCUAUACUAGAUGAAACCUGCUUUUUCUACUUCUGUGUGUUACUAAAAGAUCCUUUGUUAAGUUCCGUCUGAUGCAACGUAUAUAACAUCUGCCUAGCAACUGCUAUAUCCAAUUAUGUUAUGUCAAGUAUUAACCACCCCUACGUACCCCACUAGGGCACCACCCCUAAGCCAAUGAGCCCUGUUACACUUAUCAGUUACACCCUUAUGUGUUCUCUUUUUAUACCAAUGUUAAACAUUCAAUAAAACAGUGUGAACUUUUA